AGAUAUCUAUAAAUAACCUCAAACCCCCAAACUCUGAACCAACAGAAGGAAGAUCUUUAAUGUCUUCUUUCAAAAACAAUGGAGUGUCUGACGCUGUGCUAGUGAAAAUAACAUCAGCUUCAGCAGCACAAGUUAGCAUCUCAUCCAGGGGUUUGUAAAUAAUCUCAGCAUCCUUCAGCUCUUCACGUAUAGUUGCAACUCUCUCCUCACUUCUGUUUACGACAACCAUCUUUGUGCAACCCUUUGCCACCAAGUGUUUGAUCACAAGCUUCCCCAUCUUGCCAGCUCCAAUCACCAACAUUCUGGCUGUAGCAUGUGAAGAUUCGGGAAGCUUCAUCAAAGCCAAUUCAACAGCUGCAGAGCUUACAGAAACAGCCCCCGCAGCAAUAUUUGUCUCGGUCCUAACCCGCUUUCCAACAGAUAUUGCAUGUUUAAAGAGCCCACUAAUGUUCCUUCCAAAGCCAACAACUCCUUGGCCAACUUUGACAACUUGUUUAAC
rnacentral:misc_RNA from 1 species